GGUUGGAUGGCCGAGCGGUCUAAUUCGCUGGUUUAAGGCACCAGUCUCUUCGGGGGCGUGGGUUCGAAUCCCACUCCAGCCA
rnacentral:tRNA from 1 species